rnacentral:lncRNA from 1 species
GCGCUCCCCCCUCUCCCCUCCCUGGAGCCUCCGCGGAGCUGCUGGCUGCGACUCGUCUUACAGGGCGUCGAUUCAGCCUGAAAUCAAACCCUGGUGAGAGAGCGCUCGGGCCCGGACAGACGGACAGGCAGACAGGUGGAUCUACCGGCAGCGGGGUCGGAUACGAGCCGAGCAGGGCGGGAGUCACAUGGUGCCUGUGACCAACAGGAGGCGUGAGUCCAGAGACGAGGACCGGAACCGUCCAUCGCUGCUGAGUAGAACUCCUAACUCCAACCCAACAACCUGUAGAGCACCCAGAACUACAUGUUUACGGCUGAGACGGCUGCAUUUCACCGCGGCAGCUAAAAUUGCAGCGGUUGACUAAAUAUGGAUGUGCAGCUGCAACAUUAAAGAGGGAGACAUAAUUGAAGAACAUAACUACAGGACAUCCCAGAAUAAGGUGGGAGAUGGUUGUCACAGUGACGAAUCAGUCACACGAUGGGGCGCUGCUCCUCUUCUGCCGUGAAAUCUGUGGCCGCGUAAUUUUCAUGUCACUCUGUCGUAGGUAGGUUUCACAUGCAAACUCACAUGUUCAUUACAGGGUGACAGCAAAUGUGCUUUUCAUCGAUGACUGUGGUCCACGGAGCAGACUCACCCCCCUACUGGUUAAUGGACUCCACACAAAAGGCGCUGAGCUGAAAAUUCCAACGGAAUGUAAACACACCGUGAGUCAGUGCUUUACAGGUGGAACUGCACAGACAGGAAGAAAGGUAAAAGAAAACAUCCCAAAAUAAGGUGGGCAUGUAUGACAUUUAAACGGCCAGUUGAAUGAUGACGAUGUGUUCGAG